GCCCGCCCGCUGGCUCUCGGGCCCAGCCGGGCUGCCUGGUUAGCCCGGGGAGGGCCACAUCCCUGCCGCCCCAGUCACCGCCCUUCUUGAGCCGGGAAUCCCGCCCACGCCGCGCCACGCUCCGCCCCCGGGUGAGGGACUUGACCUCCGCCUGGCACCCUGGCGUAAGGGUGAUUGCCACAUCUCGGAUUCGCCGCGGGGCAACUACCUGGGAAAACCGCAGACUGGGCAAUGAAAGACUACAUCCGGCAACCGGAUGCUGGGUUCUGUGACUCCAGGAAAAGGGGCUCCUGGGCCCAGGGAGGUGCGCGGGCUGGGGACUCGGCCACGGCGCCUCCCGCCGGUCCUUGCCAUCUGAAGGCCGGGAGGAGUGGGGAGUCGGCGCUUGCAAAGAUACACUCAAGACUGCAGACAGUAAAUCAAUUUUAUUUGUGUUCACAGAACAUACUAGGCGAUCUCGACAGUCGCUCCGUGACAGCCCACCAACCCCCAACCCUCUACCUCGCAGCCACCCUAAAGGCGACUUCAAGAAGAUGGAAGGAUCUCACGGAUCUCAUUCCUAAUGGUCCGCCGAAGUCUCACACAGUAGACAGACGGAGUUGAGAUGCUGGAGGAUGCAGUCACCUCCUAAACUUACGACCCACCACCAGACUUCAUCCCAGCCGGGACGUCCUCCCCCACCCGAGUCCUCCCCAUUUCUUCUCCUACUUUGCCGCAGUUCCAGGUGUCCUGCUUCCACCAGUCCCACAAAGCUCAAUAAAUACCAAGAGACCUGCAUUUACAGCAGGGGGAACAUCUCACACCCUUGCAUAAGUUAAAAUAAAUAUUACGUACACAUCUCCAUCA
ensembl:lncRNA IER3-AS1 IER3 antisense RNA 1